UACGGGGGGAGCAAGCGUUGUCCGGAUUUAUUGGGCGUAAAGAGCGUGUAGGCGGCCAAGCAGGUCAGCUGUGAAAACUCGAGGCUCAACCUCGAGACGUCGGUUGAAACCGCUUGGCUAGAGUCCGGAAGAGGAGAGUGGAAUUCCCGGUGUAGCGGUGAAAUGCGCAGAUAUCGGGAAGAACACCCGUGGCGAAGGCGGCUCUCUGGGCCUUACCUGACGCUGAGGAGCGAAAGCGUGGGGAGCGAACAGG
rnacentral:rRNA from 1 species